UACGUAGGGUGCGAGCGUUAAUCGGAAUUACUGGGCGUAAAGCGUGCGCAGGCGGUUUUGUAAGCCGGAUGUGAAAUCCCCGGGCUUAACCUGGGAAUGGCAUUCGGGACUGCAAGGCUGGAGUGCGGCAGAGGAGACUGGAAUUCCUGGUGUAGCAGUGAAAUGCGUAGAUAUCGGAAGGAACAUCAGUGGCGAAAGCGACUUCCUGGACCAAUACUGACGCUCAUGUGCGAAAGCGUGGGGAGCAAACAGG
rnacentral:rRNA from 1 species